GAUGAAGAACGUAGCGAAAUGCGAUAAGUAAUGUGAAUUGCAGAAUUCAGUGAAUCAUCGAAUCUUUGAACGCACAUUGCGCCCGUCAGUAUUCUGGCGGGCAUGCCUAUUCGAGCGUCAUUACGCCCCUCAAGUCCCCUGUGGACUUGGUGUUGGGGAUCGGCGAGGCUGGUUUUCCAGCACAGCCGUCCCUUAAAUUAAUUGGCGGUCUCGCCGUGGCCCUCCUCUGCGCAGUAGUAAAACACUCGCAACAGGAGCCCGGCGCGGUCCACUGCCGUAAAACCCCCCAACUUUUUAUAGUUGACCUCGAAUCAGGUAGGACUACCCGCUGAACUUAAGCAUAUCAAUAAGCGGAGGA
rnacentral:misc_RNA from 1 species